rnacentral:rRNA from 1 species
AAACAACCGGGAUUGCUUAGUAACGGCGAGUGAAGCGGCAAAAGCUCAAAUUUGAAAUCUGGCGUCUUCGACGUCCGAGUUGUAAUUUGAAGAAGGCGACUUUGUAGCUGGUCCUUGUCUAUGUUCCUUGGAACAGGACGUCAUAGAGGGUGAGAAUCCCGUGUGGCGAGGAUCCCAGUUAUUUGUAAAGUGCUUUCGACGAGUCGAGUUGUUUGGGAAUGCAGCUCUAAGUGGGUGGUAAAUUCCAUCUAAAGCUAAAUAUUGGCGAGAGACCGAUAGCGAACAAGUACAGUGAUGGAAAGAUGAAAAGAACUUUGAAAAGAGAGUGAAAAAGUACGUGAAAUUGUUGAAAGGGAAGGGCAUUUGAUCAGACAUGGCGUUUGCUUCGGCUUUCGCUGGGCCAGCAUCAGUUUUAGCGGUUGGAUAAAUCCUCGGGAAUGUGGCUCUGCUUCGGUAGAGUGUUAUAGCCCGUGGGAAUACAGCCAGCUGGGACUGAGGAUUGCGACUUUUGUCAAGGAUGCUGGCGUAAUGGUUAAAUGCCGCCCGUCUUGAAACACGGACCAAGGAGUCUAACGUCUAUGCGAGUGUUUGGGUGUAAAACCCGUACGCGUAAUGAAAGUGAACGUAGGUGAGGGCCCGCAAGGGUGCAUCAUCGACCGAUCCUGAUGUCUUCGGAUG